UGAGCCCUGGCCAGCCCCCAAGCAGCUCCAUGCAGGUUCCCUGAGAGGAAGCAGAGUCUCCCUGGCUGAGCUGCCAGGCCACAGGUGAGUCCACCCCACAUCCUUCCAUUCCCGUGGGAACAGAGAGGGUGCCCUGCGGUGACAUUUUCACAGCUCCUCUGCGUGUGACCAAGGAGCCGUGCAUCUCCAGGGGCCCAGAAGCCUCCUGCAGGCCCCUCUUGGACAUCACCAUCCUCGGACGGAAGGACUCUUCUGACACAGCAUCACCUUACCUGAGUCAUUUGUCAACGUUUUGAGAAUCCUCUGUGUUGCUCUUUCGGAGGCUCAAGAAUUAAGUAAUCCCCCCAACGUCAUAUGGCUAUGAACUGGAGCAGGAUUCAAACUCAAGACUCUCCCAACCCCUCCUAAUCCUUCCAUCUCCUGGCCCAGGGCCCCGAAAGAUGGUUGGAGACUCUGGUUCCCAUCCGGCGCACUGGGGGGCAGGGAGCCCUUGCCGGAGUUCUCUGCAUCUCCUGGGGAGCUGUUUUUGCUGUCAGCGGCUGCCCAGGUUCCCAGGACAGCUCCUGGCCAGAUGGGGAGAAGCAGCAGCAGCCCGCCAUCCUGUGCCCAAGGUGCGCGAGGGGAGCAAGAUGCAGAAAGCUCUUUUACAGAAAAACGUCUCGUGUGUAUUUGAGCUGAGAACACUUCAUCCAGCAGAAAGCAACAGAUUCAGGGCUGGAAAGACGGAGAAGACAGGGUGCGGCCGGAACAGGGAGUGAGACAGUUUCUCUUGUAUGAGUUAUAACGCUAGGAGCUCGAAGCCUAGGAGCUCGAAGCCUCCACAUUGUUGCCAACUUGGAAAUGAAGUUUGUCAAACCAUGGGUCCGUUCGGUAGAAGGCAGAACUCUGAGGGGAGUAUGUCCAGUGUUGUCUUUUUUUUUUUAAGUUCAAAUUACAAAAAUAUGUGAAGAAUACUAAUACUGUAAGAGAGCAAAAGCGGGUGUGUACUUACUGAAGAAAUCUUUCUUUGCAAGGUUCUUGGCACAUAACACUGAAAACAAACAGAAAUGCUAGGGUUAGCAUUUAUGGAGAAGAUUUUCAUCGCACCUAGUUGCUAUGGACUGGGUUGUAUUGGACCCACCCCUUGGCCCUCAAUUCACGUGUUGAAGCCCUAACCCCACUGUGAUAGCAUUUGCAAGAGGCCUUUAUAGGAGGUGCUUACACUUAGAUGGGGUCAUCAGGGUGGGGCCUUAAGGUGGGAUUAGUGCCCUAUAAGAAGAGACCACAGAGCUCGCUCUCGGUCUGUUCUCCAUGUAAGGGCGCAGCAAGAUGGCUGUCUAUACGCCAGAAGUGGGCCCUCACCAAGAACCAAAUCUGCCAGCGCCUUGAUCUUGGGCUUUUCCAGCCUCCAGAAUGGUGAGAAAUAAAUGUUCAAGCCAUCUA